CCCACUUUCCAAUGUGAAGAAAAUCAGAGCUCGAACAUGCCUUUACAAAGAACAUGCCGAGAUGGACAUUUUGACCUGCCAAAGUGCACACCAGAUUUAUGUUAUCUGCAGACAUCGGAUUUCAGGAAUAAUCACCUUGAGGUUCCAGAGAAUUACACACAGAUGCUAUUCAGAUGGAUCUUUUAUCAUGUCGAGUUACCCAGAGAUGUACCAGUGACCCUGAAAUGUGAGCAAGAUCACGUGACCUCAGAACAUCUUAUCGUCAUGUGUAAAGAUGGGGUUGUGGAACUGCCAAAGUGCCGUCCAGUGCGUACCUCCACCUCUCGGGGCUCACCUCAGCCUGCUCCCUACUCUCACUACAGAUCAUGAUGUCAUCCGCGAACAUCAUAGUCCAUGAAGACUCCUGUCUAAUCUCGUCUGUCAACCUGUCCAUCACCAUUGCAAACAGGAAAGGGCUCAAAGCUGAUCCUUGAUGCAAUUUUCUUUUUACUUUGGAAAAUAUGGGGGGAAUUUUGAUUUCCAACUCUCCCCAUCACUUCAAUGUACCUUAUACCCAGGGAUCAAAACCCCACAAAUCCCCUUUUCUCCAAAAGCACACAAUUUAAUGGCACUCUCCAUUCAAGAGCAUGCUCUGCAACAUACUAAAAUAUGGCAAUUCGAUAAUAUAUAUACCCCCCCCCCCC
rnacentral:lncRNA from 1 species